CGAUUACUACCGAUUCCGACUUCAUGUGGGCGGAUUGCAGCCCACAAUCUGAACUGAGGGGCCGUUUAAAGGAUUAGCUCCAUCUUGCGAUCUUGCUUCCCGUUGUCGGCUCCAUUGUAGGAUGUGUGUAGCCCUGGAUGUAAGGGUCGUGCUGACUUGACGUCAUCCUCUCCUUCCUCCCUGCAAAAAGCAGGGCAGUCUCUCGUGACACUUGUAACACGAGAUAAGGGUUGCGCUCGUUACCACACUUAAGUGGACGCCUCACGACACGAGCUGACGACAGCCAUGCAACACCUGUGUACCACUCUCUAAGAAGACUUAGUUUCCUAAGCCGUGCAGGUACAUGUCAAACCCAGGUAAGGUUUUUCGCUUUGUAUCGAAUUAAACCACAUGCUCCACCGGUUGUGCGCUCCCCCGUCAAUUCCUUUGAGUUUUAAUCUUGCGAUCGUAGUCCCCAGGCGCCUUGCUUAACGCGUUAGCUUACAUCACU
rnacentral:rRNA from 1 species